GCAUGUAUAUCUAAUACGAAAACAACAGGUUCAAAAACAGAUUGGAAAACAGAUAAUAAUAGAAAUUCGAUACCAUGUUUUACCCAAAUGGAUCACAGUGGUAGCUGGUUACGGCAAUCCUACGCUGGACACUUUGUGAUCAUGUGCAUGUCUGGUCCAUCAGAAUGGCCUUAAGGCUUAAACCCGCUAUAUUGUAGCCUUGAUUAUCAAAUAAAAGGAAAUAAAAGAUCAAAGGGACUAUUUCCCGAAACGGAA